AGUGAACGCUGGCGGCGUGCUUAACACAUGCAAGUCGAACGGAUAAGGAUGGUGCUUGCACCACCUGAGUCAGUGGCAGACGGGUGAGUAAUACAUGGGAAUCUGCCUUGUAGUGGGGGAUAACUGUUGGAAACGACAGCUAAUACCGCAUAUUGCCGAGAGGUGAAAGAUUUAUCGCUACAAGAUGAGCCCAUGCAGGAUUAGCUAGUUGGUAAGGUAAUGGCUUACCAAGGCGAUGAUCCUUAGCUGGUCCGAGAGGAUGACCAGCCACACUGGGACUGAGACACGGCCCAGACUCCUACGGGAGGCAGCAGUGGGGAAUAUUGGACAAUGGGCGAAAGCCUGAUCCAGCAACGCCGCGUGAGUGAUGAAGGCCUUCGGGUUGUAAAGCUCUUUUAGUAGGGAAGAUAAUGACGGUACCUACAGAAUAAGUCCCGGCUAACUUCGUGCCAGCCGCCGCGGUAAAAC
rnacentral:rRNA from 1 species